GGGGAAAUAGCUCAGUUGGUAGAGCGCGUGCUUAGCAUGCACGAGGUCCCGGGUUCGAUUCCCUGUUUCUCCA